AGGAAGUAGAUCCAAUCGAAUCCUCUCACCCUCAACGGAGCGCUGCACCUCCGGCUUGUGGCGUCAGCCUUCUCUCCCUCCUCGCCAGAUUUCGUCUUCGCCAUCAAGAGGUGUUAAGGGAGGCGCCCGCGACGCGACGACGGCUGGGAGAAGCGGCGCAUUGGCGGACAGAUGGACAUCAGCGCAUGUGCAACACAUAGCAGCGGCGGCUGUAAGGCCACGGCGGACGAGCAGGUGGUGCGGCUGAGGGCGGGAGAAGAGAGGCCGGGCUGCGCCGGAGGCGGAGCUCGGCCGCGAGCGUGGCACGCAGAGGGCAGUGCCGCGCGAGCGCCCUGCAGCCGCAUCACCGAGCGGCAACCCCGCCGCCACACUACUGCACGAGGGCAGCGCCACCGCAUCGCCGAGCCACAGCCCGGCCGUUCCCGGCCGGAGGUCGCCGACGCCUUUCCCAACUUUUGGGUUGGCACCCUGAUCGGACGCCUCCCUUUUGGUUAACAUGUUUCUAUGAAAUUGAACAUUUCAGUAACAUUCUGCUGUGUGUUCACAACUUCACAUUAAUUCAGAAAUUGUAUGUAUGAGUCGACUGCAUCCGAUGUUGUGCUUCUCCUGUUCCCUUGAAAGGAUUGCUGGAUGGAAAGAUGUUUUUGCUUUCAGGAUUUCUGGUGUGUGUACGACCCUCUAAGUAACUCUUUUUCAUCUCAUGCAGCAGCAGAGGCUUAGAGGAAGGCGCUGCAGCGUGGAUGCACAUGGGAUGCUGCAGAUACAUGUGCCAAAGAGGAGGAGAGUAUGAAAGGAUAGAGGAGUCAGGAAGGACCGAAGGAGAAAUCAUAUGAACAUGAACCUGAUGAUGACCCAUAGUUGGAUGUAUGUGAGAGGUA